CCCGGUGAGAUUUGUUUAACGGCCGCAGUUAGUAGCUGUGCUAAGGUAGCGUAAUCAGUUGCCCUUUAAAUGAGGGAAGGAAUGAAUGGUUUGACGUGAUGGAGCCUGUCUUUAAAAUAGAAUAAGAAUUUUUCCUCUUAGUGAAAAGACUAAGUAAUAUUUAUUAGACGAGAAGACCCUGUCGAGCUUGAAUAAUGUGGUAAGUUUUUAUUAAUAAAAGUUUGAUUGGGGCAAUCUAGGAGCAAAAACAGCCUCCUUUGGUUUAAAGAUGAGCCAAAAUUUUUGAAGUCUGAAAAAGCUACCGUAGGGAUAACAGCGUUAUCUUUUCUGAGAGAACAUAUUGAAGAAAAG
rnacentral:rRNA from 1 species